UUCAAUUGCAGUUGUGGGUUUCCGUGUCGAACGUUUGACCAUUGGUCUUUUUUGAAAUUUUCUUAUAAUUAGUAUUUUUAUUAUUGUUAGAUGAUAGAACAAGAAUAGUAUUGACUUAUUUUUUAAAAUUAUUUCAUAAAUUUUUAAAUGAUAUGGGCACUGAAAUAUUAGAUACGGAAUCUCAC
rnacentral:pre_miRNA from 1 species